rnacentral:rRNA from 1 species
GACGUAGGGGGGCGAGCGUUGUCCGGAUUUAUUGGGCGUAAAGCGCGCGCAGGCGGUUCGGAAAGUCGGAUGUGAAAAUCCGGGGCUCAACCCCGGACGUGCAUCCGAUACUCCCGGACUGGAGGAAGGUAGGGGGAGAGCGGGAUUCCCGGUGUAGCGGUGAAAUGCGCAGAUAUCGGGAAGAACACCGGUGGCGAAGGCGGCUCUCUGGGCCGGAACUGACGCUGAGGAGCGAAAGCGUGGGGAGCGAACAGGG